rnacentral:misc_RNA from 1 species
GUCCGAUCGGAGUGGAAUUGAUUCCAUCUCAAAGGUUUCAAUGUGCUGAGUUUAUUGGUAACUUUGAAUCCCCAAUCCGACAACUAGAUUAUUAGGAAACUCACCGGAAAGAUUUAGAGAGACCCAUUUUUCUCUUUCCUUUUUCUCUCGUCGGUUCUCCUUAUUCUAGCCACCAUUGUACGCAAGGAUGGUACAAAAAGAAAGCUGGGUUCACAAGGAGUCAAAUGCAACCAGUCUCGUAGGAUUUGAUCGCCAGACAGCAUUGAAGUGGCCAUUUGAAGUUUGUGGUACCCGUUUCUCUCUCUCUUCAUUUUUGCUUGUUGUCGCCCUUCCAUUUAACACCAGCAUUCCUGCUAGCUAGAGAAGCUUUGCUGGCAUUGUUGUGGUCCAUUUGGUGCCGAUGAAAGAGCUGGAACGAGGGAGAGGGAGCUACAGUCAUUCAUGGCGAAGAAGGACAUGAAUCGGUAAGGUUGGGC